GGCCUGAUAGCACAAAGCCGUGCGUCCGCUGUCAUUGUGUGGAUUCCAUAGUUUGAAGCGGAGGAUCCCGGUUCGAGUCCGGGUCGGGUCG